rnacentral:tRNA from 1 species
GCGCCCUUAGCUCAGUUGGUAGAGCAGCUGACUCUUAAUCAGUAGGUCGAAGGUUCAAGUCCUUCAGGGCGCA